AACGAACGCUGGCGGCGCGCCUAAUACAUGCAAGUCGAGCGAGAAGACGUAGCAAUACGUUUGUAAAGCGGCGAAUGGGUGAGGAAUACAUGGGUAACCUACCCUCGAGUGGGGAAUAACUAGCCAAAAGGUUAGCUAAUACCGCGUACGCUCCUUGGACUUCGGUUCAGGGAGGAAAGCGAUACCGUGGGUAUCGCGCUCUUGGAUGGGCUCAUGUCCUAUCAGCUUGUUGGUGAGGAACGGCUCACCAAGGCUUCGACGGGUAGCUGGUCUGAGAGGACGAUCAGCCACACUGGCACUGCGACACGGGCCAGACUCCUACGGGAGGCAGCAGUAAGGAAUAUUGCGCAAUGGGCGAAAGCCUGACGCAGCGAC
rnacentral:rRNA from 1 species